GUGCAGAGCAUAGCAACCACCCUGGGAGGGCCUAUGGGCCAUAACAACCAGUGGACCAAUCAACACAGGGCAAACCCUCCAAGCCUGGAGGCACAGCAAUCCUGAGCCUAUGUGUACCCCUAGACACUCCCCUUACGCUGCCCUACAAGAUCUCUAUGCAGACGCUUUGCAUCGUCUUUUCCUAACCAUCCAUCCUGGCGGGUGGGUGAAAGACCGAAGCUAACAUGGGGUUAGCUCAUUAAACAACUACAAUAAAGCCUUAUGCUGUUUGCCUCAAGUUUCUGCCUCUGCAUGAUGAUUGGGGUGGCCUCGUUCCUGGACUGAGAUCCUAGGGGCAUGAGCCUUUCAGGGGUCUUUCAUUUGGGGGCUUGUCCUGGAUUUUCGACCACUCCUCACUUGAAUGGAGUAGAUCUUGGAGGCAGGUUGGGAGUUUGCUGUAGCAACAGAAAGAAGAAAGCUUUCAAAUUAGCAACUGCUCCCAUCCUUCAGAAGGCAAACAAAGGAAAGCAGGUGACUACACACUGACAAAGUCUGCACCACCCAAGAAGGCGAUAAAUACAUCAACAAUGUCUGAUCCAUUAGCAGUUGACAAGUUCAGAGGAAAUACUACAGUACAUCUAUCUUGUCUUGUGAAUUUCUUUUCUGGAGCUGGUAACACGAAAAACUAUAACUUUAAAGUCUUCAAUUUCAUCAGAGACCCAAGGAGGCAAUAAUAUUACCUGAGUAAGCAGCACAUGCAAGCAAGUGACUUCCAAAAAAUGUGAGAAAUGACAAAAACAUCUGGCUGCCUGGACAGUCACCCAAGUUUCCUCUGCAACAUUGGACAUCCAUCUUCGGCCUAGCAUAUCUGGUAGACUUUUCUGUGAAGCAGAAUAUUCUGAAGGGUUGUCUUACCUUAUCUUGGCAAAGUUCAGCAGUCGUUUCUUUUGUGUCCUGCUUGUACAAUUUGGACAGCGUACUGUCAACAGUCGAGGCAAGAGCACUUUUUUGCUCAGCGGAUAACUUUUGCCACAAAGAAAGUAAACUCCAUGUGGAGUUUGUUCAAUGCCCAUCAUCUUUGAAGUAGAUUUGCACCACCAAGAGAAGACAUGUCUCAUUCUAUGAAAAACGAAAAGGACCUAUGUUAUUAAAAUCCAAGCCAAUGUAAAAAUAUUUAAAACUUAGUAAUUGCUUUUUUUGGUCCAAAGGUAGAUUCAAUAAUCUACCUCUUCAUCCUGUUCCUAUAUCCCUCUUUUUUUUUUUUUCAUUUCAGAGUAAAUUCAAUAAUAUGCCCUUAAAUCCUAUCGUAUCUAUAUGCACCUUUUUGCUUUUCAAAAUGAGAGCUCUGAAUAUAAUUUUUUUAGCUUUUGUUUAGCUAUUUUUUAAAGCUUUGUUCAGCUUUUUCCCUGACCAUAACCAAUAACAAUUUCUAACCGACCCCCUUAAACAAUGACAGAUAUCCAUAACCCAAUGAGUGAUCAAAACCUACCCACCCCACCUCUUGGGAACGUGGGUGUUGUAUUCUUUAAUUCCUGCUGUCUUCAGGUAAUCGAAUCUUUGGGGGAUCCUGAAAAGAAAAAUUUGAGUUAAUUGUCAAGUCUUGGGAAAGGUAGCUGUAUCAUUUAUUGUCCAGUCUCUGUGUAAUGGAAAAGUGCAGGGCUUGUUUCAAGUUUUGGCUAGAGUAGUCUGUGAGGCUACAUCAUCUCAGCUAGCCACCUCAAAAUUGUCCUGAGCAAUUUGUAGUUCAAAGCUGAUCUUUAGGUGGUAUUUUUCAGUUUAGUGGUAUUAUCAUAGUCCUGGUAGAAUCAUUGUUCUGGGGUCCCAUCAACCUUUUGGAGACUUCAAGGGUCUCUGUUUGGCAUGGUUAUGGUUCACUGCAGAAAACUUAAACAUUUUAAAUUUCAUCUGUGGCAAACCUCAAAGUUAAAGGAUCAAUACUUGUUAUGUACAGAGUACAAAAACUUAAUUCCUAGUUUGAUAGAGACUCAAACUUGAAAUCAUGUACAGGAAGCUAGAUGAACUCUUUUUCUAGAAUUGGGUAGUACUCCAUAUGACCAUUAAUAUCAUGACAAAAGUUUAAAGUACAUUUAUUAAUCUUAUAAUUUUUUUUUUUUUUUGGUUUUUCGAGACAGGGUUUCUCUAUGUAGCUUUGGAGCCUAUCCUGGCACUUGCUCUGGAGACUAGGCUGGUCUUGAACUCACAGAGAUCCUCCUGCCUCUGCCUCCCAGGUGCUGGCAUUAAAGAUGUGCACUACCAACGCCUGGCUUGAUCUUAUAAAUUUUGAGAUGAUAUUUAUACCUUAAGAAAAGCUGUUAGAGUUAAAAUAAAGCUAAAGGCAACAAAACAGUCCUUAAAUAUUUGUUUUUCUUCUGUUCCAUAUCAGGAGUCUCUUCUGACAUGCAGAGAUUUGGGGUUUUACUUAACAAGCAUGCUUGGGUUUGGAGAAGGAGAGAGCCACACCCCAACUCCAAAACUAGCAUAAUCUUUAAUCGGACUGGGACUACAAAAAGACCAUUUAUAUUAUAUGUCUGUAAAAAAAGACAGAAACAAACAUUUGGGAAGAUUUAUGAAAUUUCAUCCUGUUGGAGAUGUGAUAUAUGAAUUGCCGAACUACUUUUUUUUUCUUGGGACAAUUUUUUUCUGAAUGAUUUGCCCUUUUUCUUCAUGUCUUAUUUAUCCAAUGGUCUUCAGAUUUCUUAGCUGGAUGCCUUCAUUCUCUCUGAAAAGACAAAGCAAAGCCUUUCCCCAACCCUAAUUUUGAGAGGAUUCCCUUAUGGCAAGUUAUGUCUGAUCAAAUAAAAAGUACUUGUUAGUUUAUAUUGAACAUCUAUGCUGUCUGAUUAGCUAUUACCUCUUCUAAUCAAGACGUAUCUCUUGUCCAAAACUAAUCUUUAUCAACUUUGAUGGUAUACAUAGAUUUGUUUUUCUCCUGUGGAAACGAAAGCAGAACCCCCUUCCCUGUGUAACACAUAUCUUGGUUUCCAUUCUGAGGUCAGCACAUCUUUAAAGUAUACAGGCUGAUUUAGUUUUGUAAUUUUUCUAUUAUCCAAUGUCUCUCUGCAGCUAUUGUUCUUUUCUUAUUAGCAUUCAGAAAAUUCAAAGUUAGUAAAGCACUAUGCAAUCCAUUUUGGGGGUUAUUUUCAUCCAUUUCUGUUUCUUUAGCAUAUCCUUUAGAGUUCAAUUUGUUCUUUCUAUAACUGCUUGCCCUGUAGGAUUGUGUGGUAUACCUGUAAUACACUUUAUACUAUAAUAAGCAAAAAUCUGUUUCAUUUUACUAGAGACAUAUGCUGGAGCAUUGUCAGUCUUAAUUUGUAUAGAUAUUCUCAUGAUGGCCAUGACUUCUAACAAAUGUGUGAUUACAGACACAAUCAGCCUUUUCAGAACUCAAAGCAGUUGCCCAUUGAUAUGGUGUACAUAUUUUAACUUUCCAAAUUCUACAAAAUAGAACCCAUCCAUCUGCCAGAUUUCAUUUCUUUGAGUACCCUUUGGGUUAUUUCCUGCUGGUAGUGGAGUUUGGUUGUAUAAAAACAAGUAAGACAUUUCCUUAUAAUUUCCUUGGCUUGUUGUCAGUUAUGGAAAAAAUCUUUUUUUUUAAACCUUUGCUAUUGACAUUUAUGAAAUUCUGAGGCCUCCAGCACAUUCCCUAUCAAUAGUUGAUCAAUUUCAUGAUUACCUUGUGCUAGAGGGUCUGGCAGGGUAUGGGAUCAGAUGUGGUUCCUAUUCCUGAUUAUUUCUUGUAGCGGAAUAAAUAAUAAAGUCAAUUCUAUAUCAAUCUGGUAUAAAUUCAGCAGUUUCAAUAUGCAAAACAACUCUUUUUUUUUUGUUUUUGUUUUUCGAGACAGGGUUUCUCUGUGUAGCUUUGGAGCUUAUCCUGGCACUUGCUCUGGAGACCAGGCUGGCCUUGAACUCACAGAGAUCUGCCUGCCUCUGCCUCCUGAGUGCUGGGAUUAAAGGUGUGUGCCACCAACGCCUGGCCAAAACAACUCUUUUUGCUUAUUACAAAUCAGUAUCUAUGUUGAGUUUCCAUAAAAUCUAUGAAUACCAGGAGAACUGCAUAUAAUUCUGACUUUUGGACAGAAUCAGAAGGGCUUUGAGCCACUUUACUUAAAUUUUACUUUUGGACAGAAUCAGUAGGGCUUUGAGCCACUUAAAUUUUCUGAUUUGUAACUUGCCUUUCCUGAUUUAUUUGUAACAGUAUAGAAUAGAAUGUAGGGACUCCAGAUAUUGGUGUUCCCCAUACAAUGCGAGGAGAUAUCCAGUUAGUUCUCUUUAUAAAUUGUUGUUAAUCUCUCACAAAAGAUUACUGCAAGCUCUUUGCCAAGGUUCACUUUCUAUCCUUAAUUUGUCAGUUUCAUCAUUAGUAAAAGUACUACAAUGUCUGCAGGGUCUAUUCCUGCUAAUUGAUGAAGUCUUAAUUUUCCUUUUAGAAUAAACUCAGAGACCUUUUUUCCAUGUAAGUUUUAAUUUUUUUUACUCUGUUUAUGUGGUAAAAAAAAUCUAUAAUUCUAUAUUCUAAGAUAACAUAUUUUCUCUUCAUUAAUAUUCUUGUAGGAGAAUGCUUGGAGGGUAAAAUAACCAAAAUGCAAUCAAGCUUUAGACCCAAAUGAUCCUCAUGUACAUCCUGUAAUUUCUUUCCCACCAAAGCCAAUUAUCUCUUAGCUUCCACUGAUAAUUCUCUUGCACUAUUUAAGUCCCUGUCAACAUCUAAGGUUUUGAACAAAUUACUCAGUUCAUUUCUUUGUACCCCAAUAGUGAGUCAUUGAUAAGAAAUAUCUCCUAUCAAUCUGUGAAAGCCAUUAAGAGUCAACAAUUGAUCUCUCCUAAUUUGUACCUUUUGUGUACAAAUUAGGUCUAAUUUUCUGUUUUUUCUAUUGUAAGUAAUUAAUAGAAUCUCUUCUUUGCAAUUUUUUCCAGAGCAAUUUGUAAUCCCCAACAAGGCAAAUUUUUCUUUACUUCUUCAAACAUUUUUCUAAAGUACCUACAUUUGAAUCAGAUAGUAAGAAUAUCAUCCAUGUAAUGGUAAGCUAUAGAUUGAGAGGAUUGCUUACAUAUCAUUUCCAAUAGCUGUUGUAUGAAAUAUUGGCACAGGAUAGGGCUAUUUAACAUUCCCUGUGGGAGAACCUUCCAUUGAUAUCUCUGAAUAGGCUGAG
rnacentral:lncRNA from 1 species